rnacentral:rRNA from 1 species
AACGAACGCUGGCGGUAGGCCUAACACAUGCAAGUCGAGCGAGCAUUUCGGUGCUGGUGGCGGACAGGUGAGUAACGCGUGGGAACGUGCCCUUUUCUGUGGCAUUGUACUGGGUAACUGGGGGUAACACCGCAUACGCCCUUUUGGGAACAGAUAUAUCGGAGAAGGAUCGGCCCGCGUUCGUUUAGGUAGUUGGUGCGGUAAUGGCCCACCAAGCCGUCGAUCCUUAGCUGGUAUGAGAGGAUGAUCAGCCACACUGGGACUGAGACACGGCCCAGACUCCGACGGUAGGCAGCAGGAGGGAAACUUAGACAAUGGGCGCAACCCUGAUCUAGCCAGGCCGCGUAAGUGAUUUAGGCCUUAGGGUUGUAAAGCUCUUACAGCUGGGAAGAUAAUAACGGAACCAGCAAAAGAAACCCCGGCUAACUCCGG